AUUGAACGCUGGCGGCAGGCCUAACACAUGCAAGUCGAACGGUAACAGGAAGAAGCUUGCUUCUUUGCUGACGAGUGGCGGACGGGUGAGUAAUGUCUGGGAAACUGCCUGAUGGAGGGGGAUAACUACUGGAAACGGUAGCUAAUACCGCAUAACGUCGCAAGACCAAAGAGGGGGACCUUCGGGCCCCUUGCCAUCGGAUGUGCCCAGAUGGGAUUAGCUAGUAGGUGGGGUAACGGCUCACCUAGGCGACGAUCCCUAGCUGGUCUGAGAGGAUGACCAGCCACACAGGAACUGGGACACGGUCCAGACUCCUACGGGAGGCAGCAGUGGGGAAUAUAGCACAAUGGGCGCAAGCCUGAUGCAGCCAGGCCGCGUGUAUGAAGAAGGCCUUCGGGUUGUAAAGUACUUUCAGCGGGAGGAAGGGAGUAAAGUUAAUACCUUUGCUCAUUGACGUUACCCGCAGAAGAAGCACCGGCUAACUCCGUG
rnacentral:rRNA from 1 species